GCCAGGUGUGGUGGCUCACACCUGUAAUCCCAGCACUUUGGGAGGCUGAGGCAGGCGGAUCACCUGAGGUCAGGAGUUUGAGACCAGCCUGACCAACACGGUGAAACCCUGUCUCUA
ensembl:misc_RNA Metazoa_SRP Metazoan signal recognition particle RNA